GCCACUCUAGCUCAGUUGGUAGAGCAACGGACUGAAAAUCCGUGUGUCCCCAGUUCGAUUCUGGGGGGUGGCA
rnacentral:tRNA from 1 species